rnacentral:rRNA from 1 species
AGGAUAAACGCUGGCGGCGUGCCUAACACAUGCAAGUCGAACGUCCUACGCGCAAGCGUAGGGAGUGGCGGACGGGUGAGUAACACGUGGGCAAUCUACCUUUCGGUGAGGAAUACCGGCGAGAAAUCGCCGACAAGACCGCAUACGCUCGGGCAACCGAGCAAAGUCGCAAGACGCCGGAGGAGGAGCCUGCGCCCGAUUAGCUAGUUGGUGAGGUAAGAGCUUACCAAGGCGACGAUCGGUAGCUGGUCUGAGAGGAUGAUCAGCCACACUGGGAUUGAGAACGGCCCAGACUCCUACGGGGGGCAGCAGUGAGGAAUUUUCGUCAAUGGGGGCAACCCUGAACGAGCAACGCCGCGUGCAGGAUGACGCUUUUCGGAGUGUAAACUGCUUUUCGUCGGGGAAGAGCAAGGACGGUACCCGAGGAAUCAGCCCCGGCUAACUACGUGCCAGCAGCCGC